UUUGAAGACUUGGCCCCAAAGCUUUUAACAUCCACAUUACACAUCGUUGGAUUGUGCUUGUACCUUCUGAAAACGGGAGUGCAUUUCAACCUCCUCAUAAAAACGUCUUAUUCUGAAUCCUGAGGUUAUCGGGAAGAACAUGAAACAGACCUUGAAGAGUAGGAGGCAGCCCUUGGGACCUGAGAUGUAGGACUACUGCAGUUUCUUAUUAAAUCGCAUCCCUGCCAGACAGCAGCCUUUCAUGCCAACACACCAGUUUCCUGACCACAACAAACAUUGUGACACUGAAAUCCUCAGAAAGACGGCUUAGGUUAAGAGCUUGGAUCUGGCUUUACUUGAAAGGGAAGAAAAAAGGUGAUGAAUUACAGAACAAAUUAAUAUCCAAGAACUGCAGAGAUUUUACUUACAAACAAUGCAUUGUCAGCAACAAUUAAAUCAGAGCUCCAAUUUGAAGAUAAAGAAUGUUUCACAUUUUCUAAAGUGUAUCAAUAUGGCUCUCGAGCAGGGGUGGGCAAAGCAGGGUAUUCCACGCCAGAUUUUGGUUUCAACCUCGUUCUGAAUUGUUUAAUAAAACCUCCAA